AGCUCCAAUAGCGUAUAUUAAAGUUGUUGCAGUUAAAACGCUCGUAGUUGAAUUUUGGACUUGGCUGGGCGGUCUUUGCUUUGCAUAGCACUUCUCUGGCCGAGUCUUUCCUUCUGGCAAACAAUUGUGCUAUUAAUUUAGUGUGAUUGGGAACCAGGACUUUUACUUUGAAAAAAUUAGAGUGUUUAAAGCAGGCUUACGCUUGAAUACAUUAGCAUGGAAUAAUAAAAUAGGACUUUUGGUUUUAUUUUGUUGGUUUUCGAAACCAAGGUAAUGAUUAAUAGGGAUAGUUGGGGGCAUUACUAUUGAUCCGUCAGAGGUGAAAUUCUUGGAUUGGAUCAAGAGUAACUACUGCGAAAGCAUUUGCCAAGGAUGUUUUCA
rnacentral:rRNA from 1 species